GCAAGGAAUGUGGUGUUUGUGUGCCACAAGCGAAGAAGGUCUUCCAAGCAGUUUCUGUGAGGGGUGGGGACAGCGCAGGAGCGACUCACGCUGCCGAUCUGGAAGUUUCUUGAUGACUGAGUGGCUGGAAAUGAGUAUUUACAGGUUAUUUCUCUAUCUUCUUUGGAGAAUGUAACUUGGCUUUGAACAUGAAUGAAAAGGAGAAUAAAGACACUCAUGUAACCAAGGAAGAAGAAAUCCAUCUUCUCCCCCAAUUUUAGUUUCAGGAAAGGAAACUGUCUCUCAUAAAGAAGUUGCAGACAGAGCACAAUGCCAUGGCAUGAAAUAAAUUGGAGAAAUGUACAGGAAAGAAUCGCUACAGAAGGCUCUGCUGCUAUACCCUGGAAGGUCCACAUCCCAGAUCCAUGUUACUGACAUCACGGCUUAUACAUUAGGAUAACGUAAGAGAACUUGAAAUUGAGGAGCAUCCUUCCCAUCAGAUAGAACAGCACAUUAUGCCUGCUUCUAUGAAUAAAAUGUGAGUUUUUA